rnacentral:rRNA from 1 species
AGAGUUUGAUCCUGGCUCAGGAUGAACGCUGGCGGCGUGCUUAACACAUGCAAGUCGAACAAACCUUCGGGUUAGUGGCGGACGGGUGAGUAACGCGUGGGAAUCUGCCCUCAGGAGGGGGAUAACGGCUGGAAACGGCCGCUAAUACCCCAUAUGCCGAGAGGUGAAAAGAAAUUCGCCUGAGGAUGAGCCCGCGUCUGAUUAGCUAGUUGGUGGGGUAAGAGCUCACCAAGGCGACGAUCAGUAGCUGGUCUGAGAGGAUGAUCAGCCACACUGGGACUGAGACACGGCCCAGACUCCUACGGGAGGCAGCAGUGGGGAAUUUCCGCAAUGGGCGAAAGCCUGACGGAGCAACGCCGCGUGAGGGAUGAAGGCCUCUGGGCUGUAAACCUCUUUUCUCAAGGAAGAAGACAUGACGGUACUUGAGGAAUAAGCCACGGCUAAUUCCGUGCCAGCAGCCGCGGUAAUACGGGAGUGGCAAGCGUUAUCCGGAAUUAUUGGGCGUAAAGCGUCCGCAGGCGGCCCUGUAAGUCUGUCGUUAAAGCGUGGAGCUUAACUCCAUUUAAGCGAUGGAAACUACAGGGCUUGAGUGUGGUAGGGGCAGAGGGAAUUCCCGGUGUAGCGGUGAAAUGCGUAGAUAUCGGGAAGAACACCAGUGGCGAAGGCGCUCUGCUGGGCCAUAACUGACGCUCAUGGACGAAAGCCAGGGGAGCGAAAGGGAUUAGAUACCCCUGUAGUCCUGGCCGUAAACGAUGAACACUAGGUGUCGGGGGAAUCGACCCCCUCGGUGUCGUAGCCAACGCGUUAAGUGUUCCGCCUGGGGAGUACGCACGCAAGUGUGAAACUCAAAGGAAUUGACGGGGGCCCGCACAAGCGGUGGAGUAUGUGGUUUAAUUCGAUGCAACGCGAAGAACCUUACCAGGGUUUGACAUCCUGCGAAUCCCUUGGAAACGAGGGAGUGCCUUCGGGAGCGCAGAGACAGGUGGUGCAUGGCUGUCGUCAGCUCGUGUCGUGAGAUGUUGGGUUAAGUCCCGCAACGAGCGCAACCCACGUCUUUAGUUGCCAGCAUUCAGUUGGGCACUCUAGAGAGACCGCCGGUGAUAAACCGGAGGAAGGUGUGGAUGACGUCAAGUCAUCAUGCCCCUUACAUCCUGGGCUACACACGUACUACAAUGCUACGGACAAAGGGCAGCAAGCUCGCGAGAGUUAGCAAAUCCCAUAAACCGUGGCUCAGUUCAGAUCGUAGGCUGCAACUCGCCUACGUGAAGGAGGAAUCGCUAGUAAUCGCAGGUCAGCAUACUGCGGUGAAUACGUUCCCGGGCCUUGUACACACCGCCCGUCACACCAUGGAAGUUGGCCAUGCCCGAAGUCGUUACUCCAACCCUUGUGGAGGAGGACGCCGAAGGUGGGGCUGAUGACUGGGGUGAAGUCGUAACAAGGUA